CAGGAAAAAGCAUCUCACCAUGCCAGUCAUGAGCACCUUGUGAAUGAGAUUGAACAAGCUGUGCAAGAGGCGGUGGAGACCGAUGUGCACGUGAGGAGACGACCACAACCACCGCAACAGCCACUGCCCGAUGUUCACCUGUGAAGGAGGUCUGAAAUGACUGAUAACUUCUAGAUAGGACAUUUGCUUCAGCCCCCCGUUGUAGGCCAGCUACGCCUUUGCUUAAAGGAAGAGACUUUCGGAUAAAGAAAAGGAACAGGAUAAGCUCCCCUCUGCUUGUCCAGGUUUCCGGCAAACCUCAUCCCAAUGCAAACCUCUGCUUCCGACAGGUUUUUGCUGAAAGGCAAAUAUUCUUCUCUGCCCCCUUCUAGUCCUUAACUGAACACCUUUCCCCUCUCUGUGGUUUACAGCUGCAGGCUUUGCCUUCUCCCGACCGACUCCACAGCCACCGGUUUCCUUGGCCAUGAUCCAGACAGGGUGGCCACUUCAAACACAUCGCUUCAAAAGAGGAGACAGAGUGGCAUAGAAUUGCAGGAUGUUAGUUUUAUAUUCAACACGAAAUUAGAAAUUGUUUUUACAGUUGAGACCUCAUUGCAGUGGGUCUCACGUGAGUUGGGAAAACUCCACACCGCCUGCAUGCCUUCGCCUGAGUCUGCUGUUGAGGUCCUGUUUCCUGCGGGCGAUGGGCAACUUCAAGGCCUCCCUUCCUGGAAACAGGCUUCUGGCUAGACAGCUCUAUCCAAAGAGGGCAGCUUCAAAAAGAGGCCUGUCCUCUGGCAGCUAUUGAAACGGAAGAGUCUCCUCCACGAACAAGGAAAUGCUUCCUUGAGAUGUUCCUGCUAGGCCCCUGUGGCUAUCGCACAAUUACUGGAAAAAAAGGUGCUAUCAGAUCUGCUUUGCACUCAGCUGGCCUUGCGUCCGGCGGACUUUGCCACUAGACUGCUUUGUUUUGCCGAAGCUCAGCAGGAUUUUUGCUGUCUCUCAAACUUUUUGAAGUUCUUUUUCCUUCCUGCGCUGAUUAAAAUAUAUAUAUAUAUCUGUA